rnacentral:lncRNA from 1 species
GCGCCGACCUUGAUCUCGUAGCCGGCGCCAGCAGCCGCGCUUUGGGGCGUCGGCUCACGUGGGGCCGGCAACGCGUCUUCCAGGAUGUUCGCGCGCUAGUCGCCGCUGAGGGGCCGGCGAUGCGCGAGGAGUUCCGGCGAGGAAGGUCGGUCAGUGGACAUGGCCGAGGCCCGCGGUGUCCGCGUGUGGGAGCUGCAGGGCUGAGGAGAGGCCGCCCGCAACCCUCGGGAAUCGUAGACGAGGUCUCACUAUGUUGGCCAGGUUGGUCUCGAAUUCCUGGCCGCAAGCCGUUCUCCAGUCUGGGCCUCCCAAAGUGCUAGGAUUACAGGAACAGAAUUGCCAUUGGGCCCAGGGAGAGACUACACUUCUUGUCUGCUUUGUUGCUAGUGCGGCCUUGUGGCCAAGCACAGAACGUGUGCAGUGAUGAUGGUGCAACUUCUAGGUCGUCCCCAGCAUGGAAAAUGAGCCCUGGGCAUGGAAGAUGAGCCCUGGUCCUGCAGCGGUGCUCUUUCCUCUUCUCACAAGCUGGAAUGUGCAUGUGCUCCCACCCAGCUUUGACCAUGGGGCGAAAACAGUACUCUGCAGUCUGGCAGAGCAACAAGGUGGAAAGGGCCUGGGUCCUUGAGUGACGUCAUGAGCCCUCUCACUGUCCCGACUUUGGGACUGUUAUAUGAUAAGGACUUUCUGUGAGUCACUGUCUUUUAGAGUCUCUCUGUUUUAGCUGCCUGGACUUUAUCCUGAAUAAUAUGGCUGUUAUCAUGGGUAUAGUGUUACUAUGAGCCUCAUCUAAGUAAUUUCUACUCUGCCUUUGACCACUAAACUCAUGUUGGACAAGAGUCACUUAGCAUUAUUUUUUCCUCAAUGAAGAGGUUAAGAUGGAGGGAGCAGGAGAAAUUGAGGCCUGUGUUUUACCAGAAGGUGAAGGGCUGUCUUUGCCUUUCCUACAUUUAUGAAGGAUAAUUCUAGACAAAAACAUUAAGUUCAUAUCAAACCAUCUGCUUUGUGAAGCCAUGGGCUUUGCUAGAACUUUCUGUGACAUGACAUUUAUUAACCCGAGUCUACCUGGAAGUUAGAGCUGAGGAAGUUUUCCUAGAGUGGAAAAAGUCCAAUGCACUUGUAAAAGUCAGACCAAGCUCAGCUCAGAUUUCAGUUUUAUUAGAAGUAUGUCACCUUCCUGAGCCCUUAUUAUUUCCCCAUCUGUGAAAUGAGGACACCGUUCUCUCUUUCUAAGCAUUGCUGGGAAGACCACACACCACUGAGACAGAAGGUGGGGCUAGCGCAGUUCUGGGCAUUUUGUACACCCCCAACAAAUACUGAUUUAUUUCCUUCUUUUUCCUUGCUCAGAAAAAAUUGGAGAAGGCUUUAUUUUAAAAUUCUGCCUGAAUUACUUUAUUUUAUUUAUUUAUUUAUUUAUUUUUUGGAGACAGAGUGUUGCUGUGUCACCCAGGCUGGAGUGCAGUGGUGCGAUCUCAGCUCACUGCAACCUCCUCCUGCUGGGUUCAAACGAUUCUCCUGCCUCAGCCUCCUGAGUAGCUGGGAUUAUGGGCGCCCACCACCAUGCCCAGCUAAUUUCUGUAUUUUUAGUAGAGACGGGGUUUUGCCACAUUGGCCAGGCUGGUCUCGAACUCCUGAUCUCACGUGAUCUGCCCACCUCAGCCUCCCAAAUUGCUGGGAUUACAGGCAUGAGCCACCAUGCCCAGCCCUUGAAUUACUUUAGAUCCUACUUUUUAAGAAAAUAUUUGGCCGGGCAUGGUGGCACACACCUGUAAUCGCAGCACUUUGGGGGCCUGAGUUGGGUGGAUCACUUGAGUCUAAGAGUUCGAGACCAGCCUGGCCAACAUGGCGAAACCCUAUCUCUACUAAAAAUACAAAAAUUAGCCGGGCAUGGUGGUGGGCACCUGUAAUCCCAGCUACUUGGGAGGCUGAGGCAGGGAGAAUCACUUGAACCUGGGGGGGCAGAGGUUGCAGUGAGCCAAGAUAGUGCCACUGUACUACCGCCUGGGCGACAGAGCAAGACUUUGUCUCAAAAAAAAAAAAAAAAGAAAAUAUUUGACUUUCUUUUUAAAAUGUAUAUGGUUUACAAAUAAAGUUUACAAAUGCUUUUAC